UUUAGCAGCCAUAUCACCCUGCAGCCCAAGACUGGUUUGCCCACUGAAGCUAAGCAGGGCUGGUCAGUACCUGGAUGGGAGACCUCUUGGGAGAACUAGGUUGCUGCUGGAA
rnacentral:rRNA from 1 species